UCUCCGUUAAAUAGGUCAUACUUUAUACUUACAUACUUGCGAACUGUGUGCCUUUUGUACGGGCAGGCUUGGCAAUGAGUGCGACCAAUAAAGCUAUGAUCAUCGCGGGCAUCGCUACAAUGUUUCAAGCUUUGGGUCAGAUAAUAUUCACCUCAAUUGGAUUAUUGCAAUACUUCUGUGUUAUUGACUUUCUAAAAGAAGUGCCCUUGCUCUUAUUUAUAAGAAUUUUAUAUUUCCACAAUCCCGUACCAUGUGGUAAUAGAAUAACUAUUGGUCAAAACAUAGAAGGUUUGCCGAGCCAAGCAAUGGUGAUACUCAACGAGGUACCGUUCACGGCACAAAGGACUUUUCUCGUUAACUGUGUCAGCCUCGGUUUGAGCGCUAUCUGGUUCAUCACCUGUAUUGGACUCAUGAGAGGUGGAGCAAAGGACAAAACAACAAAACCCAUACGAUGGCCAUGGAUAAUAAUAACUAUACUUAUUUGUGCGUUGGAUAUAACUGCCACAUCUAUUUACGCAAAUGACUCUUUUCACACAAGGACUCUAGCAGAAUCUAUUGCCUUUAUUGGUGCUUCCGUGAGUGGCAUAGGUAAUGUAGAGAUCAAUACUUCAUGGGCCGCUUGGGUAAUGGUGCUCCUCUAUUCGAGAUUUGGCAUUCUGUUCAUUCUGAAUUUGUUCCUGGUUGUCUCCGUAGUUUUACACGUCAGUGGUAAACGAGCAGAAGAUAUAUCAAUUCAAGUCGAAGCACCAACGAUGGUUAAUCAAGCUGUCAGUGUACAGGAUGAUGAUGAAACCAGUGUACAAAGCGAACCAGUCCCCAAAAUACCAAGGCCUGGUCUGAGUCAGUCUUUUAGAAGAAUGAAAGCGAGGCUAUUCGGCAAGGGGCCGACGUUGCCUGUCCCUCGGGCUACUCAAAUUGAAUUUGCGGGCAACUCUUCCGAGGUUUCGCCGGAGAGGUCUCCUCAUCCUCCGCCACAUAAUGCGGAUAUAGAUAAGAAACGCACAGUGAAUUUUCCUACAAACCUGCUGUCACUGCCGCAGCGGCUGGAAAACAUGAUAGCUGAACAGCAGCGACGACUGGACCAUGCCGUGGUUGAUACAACCGGGCGUCACAGCCCGACGCGCGCCUCUCAGUCCGCACCACAUCUUCCUUCUUCCUCAAAUGACAUUCGCGGAUAUGGUAGCGCAGACGACGAGACACGGCGGCCGAGCUUCAGGGCCAGCUACCUUGGGCGUACAUCCCCGCCUCUGCUCACAGAAUGCGUGACCAACUCCCCCCCGACGAAGACCUACCGCCUGUUCCGUUACCGGACUAUACGGCCCUCUCUUCCGUUAGAAAAGCUUCGGUCCACCGAGCCAAUUCCAGCUUAAGUUCUCUAACGCACAUUCGGGACUACAAAACGCAGACAUCACGUCGUAAGUAUAAAUCGCCUUUAACUGAAACUGAUGUGCUAUAUUGACUUCGUAGGACUUGGUGAUAUAUCACUAACACCUUCAAAAAUAACAAACCAAUGGCAAUGGUACUCAAAAAAAUCAUCUACAGAUCAACUCAUAGCUUAACCGUUCGAGCUAGAACAACGAAUGUUGUACAUACACUUCAUAGACUAUGUUGCAAAAAAAC